GUCGUAAUUACCGGAAAGGUCUAGUAUGGCUAAUUACGGAAUACUCAGACUGCAUGUCGAGUCAAGUGGUAUUGAGCUCUGUGACGUCACAACACUUAUUUAUUGACUUCCGCCAUUUAGGGCGGCAAAUUAAAAAUAGUUAUUAUUAAAAGUAAAACGUGGCGUCAAAGAAGUCUAUGUCUUUGAAGAACUAUAUUGGUCCACAGCUGUCCCAAAAUGACGGAUCAUUUUUAAUGACACGUCAUGUUGCAAGACUCGAAUAAUGCAUAGAAUUAAGUCAAGUAUCAUGAGAACAGACCUUUUUACCACAGUAUUGAUGCUGGACCGGAAGUGUCACUCAGACGAUAUUUUGUCCGAAAUUUUACGAGUGCUGAC